AAGUCCGGCUGGCUUAGAUCAUGUGCUAACAACACGGAGCUUUUUGGAUAUAAAUGAUGAGCUUUUUUUGAACAAAACUACAUUCGUUAUGGACCUGGGAUUCCUGGAAGUGACAUCUGAUGAAGAGAAUCAAAGGUUAAGUGAGCAGAUUAGGGCAUUCAGGAGGAACGGAAAAUCUACUGGAGAUAUUUAAAAAAACUGGUAGACUUGGGGAUUUUGGUCAUGGACAGCGCUAUUCUCAAACACUAUCAUCAGAUGCCUGUUUUACACUGACUCGAAAGCCCAGGAAAAUGAACAGGUACUGUAAGCUACGAUACUUUAAUGCAGGCCUAAUAAUGCUAAAAAUAAUGCUUAAAUAAAUUGACUGCUGGUCUUUACUGUAUGCUGUACAUUUUGACAUUAUAUUCACGGACUGUUAAGUGUUCCACAAUAAUUCACUCUUGCCUCCUUUUUCAGGUAUCAAUGGCUCAAGAUUUCUUUGAGGAAGAAAUCAUCAAGAGAUAUGCUGGACCCUAUGUCAGAGAGGUGUUUCUGGGUACACAUCGUUUCUUUCAAUACAAUGACCCAAAACACACUGCCGCCUGGGUUUGCAUUGCAAAUGAGGGCAUAAACUGGGUCAAGACUCCAGCAGAUUCUCCUGAUUUAAACCCGAUCAAACUUGUUUGGCAUCAACAUUCAUCCGUAACUCUGCCAAGCCGAAAGAUGAACUGGUCGUGGAGCUGGCUGGAAGUGCGACUAAAAUGUAGUUUAUAUAAACAUCCGCAUUUGAAUGUAUUUUUUCUCGUUAUUUUAUUAACAAAAGCAUAAAGAUGUUGCUGAAUAAAUACUGUACUGCUGUUUUUGGUGAGAAAUGUAACACUUGAGAGUACUUAAACAUCGAAUACAUUGCAAGUUGAGGGAUUUUCACAACAGUAGCAAUAGGAAACAUUUGCAUGAUGGGCUACACCUGCUACAGUUGUGAAAACAAGUAAUUGAAAACCUGUUUUCAAAAUGCCUCCAGUUGUCCAUCACUAAUGUAAAUAAAAACACAGCA
rnacentral:lncRNA from 1 species